UUUAACUAUAUAUAUAUUUGCCAUUACGUUAUAUUGUACACAUUUUUUUUCUUCCAAAAAUCAAAAUCAGACUCAUAAAUCUAGUUCUAUAAUUGAGUUCACAUUCUCAUUGAUGCUUUAACAAAGUAUCCAAUUUACAUAAUAAAAAUAUAAUAAAUAAAUAAAAAAUAAAAAGUAACAAUAACUAACAAUCAAAUAAAAAUAAUAUUUUGGUAGAAAAAGAAGGGUUCUACGUGCAUCCCUCCUCUAUAUUUCAGCUUCCCUGUUUCUCUCUUUUUGCAUCUUCCCCAAAUUUGUACUCCAUCAAAAACUUGAAGUACAAUCCUUCACUUAAAACUCCAUAAUUUAUGCAAAACAAUUAAAAAAAAAUCAGAACUCUAUUUUAUUUGAUGGAUAAAAGAUGGACCCUUUUAGUCUGAGAGCAAAAAUCAUGUAGAUGGGGGGAUUGUAUACUUUUUUUUUCAAAAAAAAAAACAUAAAAAUGAAGAUUUUUUUUGAAUAAAAGAAAUAGGAAAAGAAAAAUGUAGAAAAGGGGUUUUUCAUAAAACAAAGAAGAAGAAAAAGAAACAACAAGCUUACCUUUUUCCUCUCCACACUCAUCCAUACACCAUAACAAUUAUUUUAAUCUCUACACCCUCCUCAAAACAAAAACACAUAAAUAAAAACAAAGUACUUUUGAGAGGGGAAUUUUUCUGAAAAAAGAAACAGAAAUGAAAAAAAUCUCGACCGUAGUCAAACACACUCAUCGUCGGGCCACCGACAAUUGACUCCUCCCCCACCAUGAACCACCAUCGCCAUUGUGACUCCAGCUCGCGUCUAACUCUAGUAGACCACCGCAUUGUCCUCAUCUACACUGUGUUUGGCUUUUUUUUUCACCUUCUCUUUCUUUGCUCCACUUUCUUUGCAAACCAUAUUUGCUCUUGCUAGAAAAGUUGUAUCAAUCUUUCUCUAUGUUAGUCAUAUUAAAGCACUUUAGGGUUUUUCUUUUUCUAUUUUGGGUUUGUUAUGUUUUGUUGAAUUAGGUGC
rnacentral:lncRNA from 1 species